rnacentral:lncRNA from 1 species
AUAGUUAGGCUAAGUGCAUGCUGCACAGAACAAAAAUUGCAUUCAAGGUUGGAAGACUUAAUUGAUGUGCGUGUAGAAAAUAUACAAAAAAAAAAAAAAACGUGGUGAAAAUUUUGCAAAACCAUAAAAGGGAACAUAAACCAAAUAAAAACCAAUAUAAAAGUGUUGUGGCUGCAAAGACGAAAACUUAAAAACCAACCCCUGGAUAAGGUACGCCAAGAAAAAAAUGAAAAAUUGACCUUAUUACAUAAUUCCAUGUAUGUACUGUACAUAGGUUAUGAUCCACGUGUGGCAGGAAAUUGCUGACCUGGCCUGACCCUCGGUCUCGGAGGGGGGGUCCGCUCCAGUACCACGAUCAUCAGUCCUUCUUUUUGGUGCCACCGGACCUUGCCUGCAGGCGAAAAAACGGAUGGACUUGGCGAUCGGGACCGAGUUGUUUAUAUACAUAUAUCUCACGCGCAACUAUAAAACCA